UGAAAAUGGUUGUGUUAAGGUUUACAGUC
rnacentral:piRNA from 1 species